AUUGAACGCUGGCGGCAGGCUUAACACAUGCAAGUCGAGCGAGCGGCGGACGGGUGAGUAAUGUAUGGGGACUGCCCGGUAGAGGGGGAUAACUACUGGAAACGGUGGCUAAUACCGCAUACUAUCGGAUAACCCAUAUGGGAUUAGCUAGUAGGUGGGGUAAAGGCUCACCUAGGCGACGAUCCCUAGCUGGUCUGAGAGGAGGACCAGCCACACUGGGACUGAGACACGGCCCAGACUCCGACGGAGGCAGCAGUGGGGAAUAUUGCACAAUGGGGGAAAGCCUGAUGCAGCCAUGCCGCGUGUAUGAAGAAGGCCUUCGGGUUGUAAAGUACUUUCGGCAGAGAGGCGUUAUCCGCAGAAUAAGCACCGGCUAACUCCGUGCCAGCAGCCGCGGUAAUUC
rnacentral:rRNA from 1 species